rnacentral:rRNA from 1 species
GGCUGAAACUCAAAGGAAUUGACGGGGCCCGCACAAGCGGUGGAGCAUGUGGUUUAAUUCGAAGCAACGCGAAGAACCUUACCAGGUCUUGACAUCCCGCUGCCCGCCUUAGAGAUAAGGCUUUCCCUUCGGGGACAGCGGUGACAGGUGGUGCAUGGUUGUCGUCAGCUCGUGUCGUGAGAUGUUGGGUUAAGUCCCGCAACGAGCGCAACCCUCGUGUUUAGUUGCCAUCAUUAAGUUGGGCACUCUAAACAGACUGCCGGUGACAAACCGGAGGAAGGUGGGGAUGACGUCAAGUCAGCAUGCCCCGUCGACGCGGCCG